rnacentral:rRNA from 1 species
GAAGGGAGCUUGCUCCCGGAUGUUAGCGGCGGACGGGUGAGUAACACGUGGGUAACCUGCCUGUAAGACUGGGAUAACUCCGGGAAACCGGAGCUAAUACCGGAUAGUUCCUUGAACCGCAUGGUUCAAGGAUGAAAGACGGUUUCGGCUGUCACUUACAGAUGGACCCGCGGCGCAUUAGCUAGUUGGUGAGGUAACGGCUCACCAAGGCGACGAUGCGUAGCCGACCUGAGAGGGUGAUCGGCCACACUGGGACUGAGACACGGCCCAGACUCCUACGGGAGGCAGCAGUAGGGAAUCUUCCGCAAUGGACGAAAGUCUGACGGAGCAACGCCGCGUGAGUGAUGAAGGUUUUCGGAUCGUAAAGCUCUGUUGUUAGGGAAGAACAAGUGCAAGAGUAACUGCUUGCACCAUGACGGUACCUAACCAGAAAGCCACGGCUAACUACGUGCCAGCAGCCGCGGUAAUACGUAGGUGGCAAGCGUUGUCCGGAAUUAUUGGGCGUAAAGGGCUCGCAGGCGGUUUCUUAAGUCUGAUGUGAAAGCCCCCGGCUCAACCGGGGAGGGUCAUUGGAAACUGGGAAACUUGAGUGCAGAAGAGGAGAGUGGAAUUCCACGUGUAGCGGUGAAAUGCGUAGAGAUGUGGAGGAACACCAGUGGCGAAGGCGACUCUCUGGUCUGUAACUGACGCUGAGGAGCGAAAGCGUGGGGAGCGAACAGGAUUAGAUACCCUG